rnacentral:rRNA from 1 species
ACGGGGAGCACCACGAACGGGUGGAGCUUGGUACGGUUUUAAUUUGGAUUCAACGCCGGAAAUCUUACCGGGACCGACAGCAAUAUGAAGGCCAGGCUGAAGACUUUGCCGGAUUAGCUGAGAGGUGGUGCAUGGCCGUCGUCAGUUCGUACUGUGAAGCAUCCUGUUAAGUCAGGCAACGAGCGAGACCCACGCCCACAGUUGCCAGCGUACUCUCCGGAGUGACGGGUACACUGUGGGACCGCCGCUGCUAAAGCGGAGGAAGGAAUGGGCAACGGUAGGUCAGUAUGCCCCGAAUAUCCCGGGCUACACGCGAGCUACAAUGGUUGGUACAAUGGGUAUCUACCCCGAAAGGGGACGGGAAUCUCCUAAAACCAAUCUUAGUUCGGAUUGAGGGCUGCAACUCGCCCUCAUGAAGCUGGAAUCCGUAGUAAUCGCGUUUCAACAGAACGCGGUGAAUACGUCCCUGCUCCUU